rnacentral:lncRNA from 1 species
CUACUUUUAAAACCAAUAAUUCUCCAUCUCCUGAAAUCAUCCCCAAGAGAGUGUGAGAGGCCUGAUAAAAAUCACAUCAUGUGUCUCCUAUCCUCCCUUCCUUCUCUCCCACCCUUAUCUCUCUCUCAUACACUCAAAUAAAGUCAGGUUAGUAGAAAAGCUAUGUGAUCUAAUGGAUAGAGAGAUGCUUUAAAUAAAAUCUGUUUUUAAGUCUCACCAGUGACUAUGGGCUGAAUAUAUAUGUGAAAUUUCAUGUCCUUAAUUAUUAUGUGGAUCCACUUCUCUCUUCCCUAGAGCUUGCUUCCCAGAAUGCCUAUCCACAUGCCAAAAGCUGAUACAAAGCCUAGAGACAGACACAAUCCUUAAUCAAUGAUGAAAACUUUCCUUUGUUCUUCCCUUCAUAUGCACCACAGUAAUAAAAGAUCUUUCUUUUCUCAAAUUUCUCAUAAAAUAUCACAUCCAUCUUAAACCACUAUCAUUUUUAGGUCUUCUUGUUUUAUUAUAUUAUUAUUACCUAUUUAGGACAGGUCAAACUACAUUCACUAGUUGGUGUUCUCCAGAGUCACGGCCAGUUUUAAUCUUUUGUCUCUCCAAGCAACUAGCACAGUGCUUUAGAUGUCAUAAAUGGUUCUAUCUCUCCAGAUUCCUUCCCAUGUGCAGGGCUCAAGGGUCAAAGGUCAAACUAGAAAAAACAGUUCCAUGACAGUUGGGAAUCUCUCCUGGAGACAGGGCCAAGGGUGGAACUGACAAGAAUGGGGGAUUUAAAGAAGUCAGUCUGGAACCUGAUGGCCACAAGUACUCUAUUUUCCAUUAUCCUGACCUUUGCCUUGGGAUUGGAUUACACUUAUCUGCUUCCUCCGAUCAAAGGCCGCAAAUACAUCUUUAGCUUUAUCAGCUUCCUUUCAGGAACCUGCCUGCUCUCAGCAAUCAUACUGUACUACCAAGACCUGAAGAACAAUAUCGAGAAACAAUACGUUGAUUUCAAAGUCACCUGGGUUUUUCAUUCAAAUUAUAUAAUUAUCUUUUUGUAUUAUGCCUGUGGGGUCCUCUGUGUUUGGAACCUACUGACCAAGUUCUUUCUAAACCUCCAAGAGUUGUCCAAACGAUCUGUAAUAACCAAGAAAGUGGACAUCAGAGAUGAAGCAACAAAAAGUACAAGUUUUCUUAGCAUAGUCCAAUCUCAAAACUUUGGCAAAAUAAAUAAGUCUACUGCACGUACCCAAAUCUCCCAAGUGUCCUGGAAUUUCUAGAUUUGGGGCUGCUAUAGAAGUAUAUCUUUAUGCCUAUGUUUGUAUUUCUGCUGACCCAUAUAUGUGUAAUUAGAUGUUAUAUGUAUACACUAUUUAUUGUAGGUUUGACCAUGUGUAUUAUAUAUGACUAAGACAGUGAAGGACUAUGUACAGAAGUGCCAGGCAAUGAUACUAUUUAACCCUGUAUUAAAUAAAAGAGAUUUUUCUCUGGUCA